UCUGCUUCUCUCCCCGUCUCCUCUGCUGAGUAUCAACCUCUUAAGGUUUUAUUUUCUUCCCUUUUCUCCUCUCCCGAGUGAACUCUGGUGCCCUUCUCCUCAAGCCUCACAGUUUGGGCCUCCCCUCCCCCAGGUCUCAAAUCUAAGCUGGCCAAAUGCAAACCAGACGUCUGCCACACCAGUUUCACAGAUCAUCAGCUUUCUGGGGGCAGGGACCCUACCUGUCUUGAUCAUCGCUGUAGGGUCAGCACAGAGCACAGAGCUGUGGAUGGAUGGACAACCAAGUGACUGGAGGCUGAAAUUAGCCUGAAGUGAUUAUGUUCUGCGGGAGACAGUGGGAUGGUCAGACUCCACGUGAAGCGGAUUGUCCUGGAGCCUCCAGGCCUCGGGCCCUCCCUGAGCACUUGGGAGACACCAAGCAGGAGUUCCCGGCAUCUCCAGUGGUCAGCCCUGUCCCGGCAGGCGUGCCUCCUCUCUGCCUUCCCAGGUCCUCCCACACGAGGACCUGGCCAGUGGCCAUCAGAGGUACGUGCCCUCUGUGUGACUUUUGGAAUGUUGAUUCCCCAGAUGUCGUCAUGGCCAACUCCCUCACCUUCUUCAAGUCUUUCCAGAUACCACCUUUGCAGUGAAGCCUCCCUGACCAUGCAAUUUAAAAUUGCAAUCACCACUCCCUGGAAUAUUCCCUGCCUUGCAUGCUUGAAUCCACUUUAACUUUUCUACUUCUUCUAUUUACAGCUUUGUCAUCCUCUAAUAUAUUGUAUAAUAUACUUAUUUUGUAUAUGAGUUAUGUUUUCUGACCCCCAAACACUAGAAUGUAGAUUCUACAAAGGGUUGUCGGUUUUGCUUAUUGAUGUAUCGUAAAUGCCUGGCGUGUGGUAGUUGCUCAAUAAUGUGUGUUGAACACAUGCCUGACAUG